rnacentral:rRNA from 2 species
UGAUGUUAGCGGCGGACGGGUGAGUAACACGUGGGUAACCUGCCUGUAAGACUGGGAUAACUCCGGGAAACCGGGGCUAAUACCGGAUGCUURUUUGAACCGCAUGGUUCAAAYAUAAAAGGUGGCUUCGGCUACCACUUACAGAUGGACCCGCGGCGCAUUAGCUAGUUGGUGAGGUAACGGCUCACCAAGGCAACGAUGCGUAGCCGACCUGAGAGGGUGAUCGGCCACACUGGGACUGAGACACGGCCCAGACUCCUACGGGAGGCAGCAGUAGGGAAUCUUCCGCAAUGGACGAAAGUCUGACGGAGCAACGCCGCGUGAGUGAUGAAGGUUUUCGGAUCGUAAAGCUCUGUUGUUAGGGAAGAACAAGUACCGUUCGAAUAGGGCGGUACCUUGACGGUACCUAACCAGAAAGCCACGGCUAACUACGUGCCAGCAGCCGCGGUAAUACGUAGGUGGCAAGCGUUGUCCGGAAUUAUUGGGCGUAAAGGGCUCGCAGGCGGUUUCUUAAGUCUGAUGUGAAAGCCCCCGGCUCAACCGGGGAGGGUCAUUGGAAACUGGGGAACUUGAGUGCAGAAGAGGAGAGUGGAAUUCCACGUGUAGCGGUGAAAUGCGUAGAGAUGUGGAGGAACACCAGUGGCGAAGGCGACUCUCUGGUCUGUAACUGACGCUGAGGAGC